AUACGGAGGAUCCGAGCGUUAUCCGGAUUUAUUGGGUUUAAAGGGAGCGUAGGCGGACUAUUAAGUCAGCUGUGAAAGUUUGCGGCUCAACCGUAAAAUUGCAGUUGAUACUGGUCGUCUUGAGUGCAGUAGAGGUAGGCGGAAUUCGUGGUGUAGCGGUGAAAUGCUUAGAUAUCACGAAGAACUCCGAUUGCGAAGGCAGCUUACUGGACUGUAACUGACGCUGAUGCUCGAAAGUGUGGGUAUCAAACAGGAUUAGAUACCCUGGUAGUCCACACAGUAAACGAUGAAUACUCGCUGUUUGCGAUAUACGGCAAGCGGCCAAGCGAAAGCAUUAAGUAUUCCACCUGGGGAGUACGCCGGCAACGGUGAAACUUAAAGGAAUUGGCGGGG
rnacentral:rRNA from 1 species